ensembl:misc_RNA Metazoa_SRP Metazoan signal recognition particle RNA
GCCAGCGGGCAGCCCCCGUGGUAUGUGCCUGUGAUCUCAGCGCCCGGGGAGGCUGAGGCCGGUGGAUCGCUUGAGCUCAGGAGUUCUGGGCUGCAGGGGACUGUGCCAAGUGGGUGUCCGCACUGAGGGUGGCAUCGACAUGGGGAGUCCCUGGGGAGCCAGGGAUCCCCAGGUUGCCUAAGGAGGGGUGAUCCGGCCCAGGUCGGGAACGGAGCAGGUCCCGUGUUGCUCAGUAGUGGGAUGGCGCCUGUGAACAGCCCCUGCAGUGCAGGCUGGGCAAGACAGGGAGACCUGGCAU